AGGGUAUAGUUUAAUGGUAAAACGAAGGUCUCCAAAACCUUUGAUGUGGGUUCGAUUCCUACUACCCCUG
rnacentral:tRNA from 1 species